GACAGAGGGUGCAAACGUUGUUCGGAAUUACUGGGCGUAAAGCGCGUGUAGGCGGCCAUGCAAGUCGGAUGUGAAAGCCCUCGGCUCAACCGGGGAAGUGCACUCGAAACUGCAAGGCUAGAGUCUCGGAGAGGAUCGUGGAAUUCUCGGUGUAGAGGUGAAAUUCGUAGAUAUCGAGAGGAACACCGGUGGCGAAGGCGGCGAUCUGGACGAUGACUGACGCUGAGACGCGAAAGCUAGGGGAGCGAACUGG
rnacentral:rRNA from 1 species